UACGAAGGGGGCGAGCGUUGUUCGGAUUUACUGGGCGUAAAGGGCGCGCAGGCGGCGCAUUUUGUCAGGCGUGAAAGCCCCGGGCUUAACCUGGGAACUGCGUUUGAUACGGAUGGGCUAGAGUUCGGGAGAGGAGAGUGGAAUUCCCAGUGUAGAGGUGAAAUUCGUAGAUAUUGGGAAGAACACCGGUGGCGAAGGCGGCUCACUGGACCGACACUGACGCUGAGGAACGAAAGCUAGGGGAGCAAACAGG
rnacentral:rRNA from 1 species